GACUGCAGGCUGCAACUCGCCUGCACGAAGUCGGAAUUGCUAGUAAUCGUAGGUCAGCAUACUACGGUGAAUACGUUCCCGGGCCUUGUACACACCGCCCGUCAAACCAUGAGAGUUGGCAACACCCGAAGUCGGUAGUCUAACCGCAAGGAGGACGCCGCCGAAGGUAGGGUUGAUGAUUAGGGUUAAGUCGUAACAAGGUACC
rnacentral:rRNA from 1 species